rnacentral:misc_RNA from 1 species
AAUGCCCUUUCUAUACAAAAUUUUGUAAUCCAGACCAAGCAACUUUGAAAUACCCUUCUGCUGCAAAUUGUUAUGUAACCUUUGCUCCAAAAGAUACUUAAUGCUUUCAUGAUCAGUCUUAAUAAAGAACUACCCUUGCUUCAAAUAAUGUCUCCAUUUGUUGACUGCAAAAGUAAUAGCCAAUAAUUCUUUUUCAUAUACUGACAUAGCCUGACUCCUAGGACCAAAAGCCUUAGAAAUAUAGGCA